rnacentral:tRNA from 1 species
GCCGGAGUAACUCAGUGGUAGAGUAGCUGAUUCGUAAUCAGCAAGUCAGGGGUUCAACCCCCCUCUCCGGCUCCA